CCCCCCCGGCGCGAUGGGCGCCAAGGAACACAGCGGUCGGAGGGAGACGGCGGCGCUGCUAGCAAUACGGCUUGCGGAGCCUCCGCCCCGCCCUCCUUUACCGGACAGUAUAUGAAUUUUAUGACUCUCGGCAACGGAUAUCUCGGCUCUCGCAUCGAUGAAGAACGUAGCGAAAUGCGAUACUUGGUGUGAAUUGCAGAAUCCCGCGAACCAUCGAGUCUUUGAACGCAAGUUGCGCCCGAGGCCACCCGGCCGAGGGCACGCCUGCCUGGGCGUCACGCCUCUCGUCGCUCCGCCUACCUCCCCCUGAGCACACCGUGCUCGUGCGGCGACGGGCGGCGGAUGCGGAGAUUGGCCCUCCGUGCCUUGCGGUGCGGUGGGUCGAAGUGUCGGUCGCCGGCCGGGCGUGGCACGGCGAGUGGUGGACGGACUAGCUCCCGAGCGCCGGACGCCGUGAAAUACCAUCCCGAUGCCGGGUAUAUGACCGAGAUGAUAAGAACCCAGACCGAAGGGCGCAACGCGCCAUCGGAU
rnacentral:rRNA from 1 species